rnacentral:rRNA from 1 species
CAGUAGCCGCGGGAAUACAGAGGGUGCGAGCGUUAAUUGGAUUUACUGGGCGUAAAGCGUGCGUAGGCGGCUUCUUAAGUCGGAUGUGAAAUCCCUGAGCUUAACUUAGGAAUUGCAUUCGAUACUGGGAAGCUAGAGUAUGGGAGAGGAUGGUAGAAUUCCAGGUGUAGCGGUGAAAUGCGUAGAGAUCUGGAGGAAUACCGAUGGCGAAGGCAGCCAUCUGGCCUAAUACUGACGCUGAGGUACGAAAGCAUGGGGAGCAAACAGGAUUAGAGACCCCGGUAGUCCCUGUCUCUUAUAC